CCUACGGGAGGCAGCAGUAGGGAAUAUUGCUCAAUGGGGGAAACCCUGAAGCAGCCACGCCGCGUGGAGGAUGAAGGUUUUCGGAUUGUAAACUCCUUUUGUUAGAGAAGAUAAUGACGGUAUCUAACGAAUAAGCACCGGCUAACUCCGUGCCAGCAGCCGCGGUAAUACGGCGGGUGCAAGCGUUACUCGGAAUCACUGGGCGUAAAGGGCGCGUAGGCGGGUUAGCAAGUCAGAUGUGAAAGCCUAUGGCUUAACCAUAGAACUGCAUUUGAAACCGUUAGUCUAGAGUAUGGGAGAGGUAGGUGGAAUUCUUGGUGUAGGGGUAAAAUCCGUAGAGAUCAAGAGGAAUACUCAUUGCGAAGGCGACCUGCUAGAACGUAACUGACGCUGAGGCGCGAAAGCGUGGGGAGCAAACAGGAUUAGAUACCCGAGUAGUC
rnacentral:rRNA from 1 species